CGCUGGAGGCUCAGCAAGCAAGGGAGGAGCGUUUGAAGCUUCCAAACCCUUAGUGAAAUUUUAUUUCUCGAUAACUUUUGAUCCGGAGCUCCCAUUGACGAUCUGUUUGCAGCCACGCGACCGCAGCGUCGAGCUCUACAAAGCCCGGUACAUUGUAAGGUUCGAUUUAGCUUGCGAAACUUAUUGGGCUUGAGUUACUACGCAUAUGGGUGUGAUGCAGGUCGAGAGGCUCCUCGCUAGGCGUCUGGAUCCUGAAGCAGAGUAGUACUUGGGUUCAUUUUGGGUUUUGUUUGUAUAUAUGUAGAUAUGUAUCUAGCUUGCUCUCCAAGAAAACUUGUUUAUUUUGUUCCUCAUAGAGGCUGAGGGAGAGCUAGGACCUUAUUUUGUAUUUUGAGUAUUUUGGGAUACCUGUAUAUGUAUGUCUAUAUAUUCUCCGGCCAGCCUUGGCUUCGCAGGCUGAGUCAGGAGCUAGUUAUGAUAUAUUCUUGGCCUUA